rnacentral:rRNA from 1 species
GAUGAACGCUGGCGGCGUGCCUAAUACAUGCAAGUCGAGCGAACAGACGAGGAGCUUGCUCCUCUGACGUUAGCGGCGGACGGGUGAGUAACACGUGGAUAACCUAUCUAUAAGACUGGGAUAACUUCGGGAAACCGGAGCUAAUACCGGAUAAUAUAUUGAACCGCAUGGUUCAAUAGUCAAAGACGGUGUUGCUGUCACGUAGAGAUGGAUCCGCGUCGCAUUAGCUAUUUGGUAAGGUAACGGCUUACCAAGGGGACGAUGCGUAGCGGACCUGAGAGGGUGAUCAGCCACACUGGAACUGAAAAACGGUCCAGACUCCUACGGAAGGCAGCAGUAGGCAAUAUUACGCAAUGAGCGAAAGCCUGACGCGCCCACGCCGCGUGCGUCAUGAAGGCCUUCGGAUCGUAAAACUCUAUUAUUAGGGAAGAACAACUGUGUAAGUAACUAUGCACGUCUUGACGGUACCUAAUCAGAGAGCCGCGGCUAACUACGUG